rnacentral:tRNA from 3 species
GGGUGUGUGGCGGAAUUGGUAUACGCGUACGUUUCAGAGACGUAUGGAGCAAUCCGUGAGGGUUCGAGUCCCUCCACACCCA